rnacentral:tRNA from 1 species
UCAGACCUCUUACUUUUAAAGGAUAAAAGUAAUCCAUUGGUCUUAGUCACCAAAAACCU